ACUGUUAGGGAAGGAGGCUGCCGGUGACCCGGGUAGGGGUUCUGGUCGUUCAGGCUGCCCUGCCUCUAACGGACUUCCAGGAUCCUCCGUAGGUAACCCUUUCACCUGGGCCCACGUGGGCAAGCGGAGCCGCUUUCCUAGUCCGCGUACUUUCCCAGGCUUGGCCGGUAGCGACGACCCCCUUCACUGGGUAGAUCGUUGCCCCGCCUCUUUCUCCCAGGGAGACUUUGGAUCUCAGAGCCUGGGAAUAGCAACUGCGGAAGUGUGAAAGCCUUUCGGCUUUAAAAUUCUCAUCUGCAUGGACUGCACCUCAAUCAGGAACGGGACCUGUUUAAAUAUUAGCAUGUCAGUGCUGGGAGUCAUCCUCAGGAAUCACUGAGAUCACUGAAGUGGGGUACAUUUGUUUGACCCUUGAAGUCCUAUUAGUAACUGCAAAAAGCCCCACUGCAAUCGAAGAAGAAGAUGCGCUAGGAACGCCUCAGUGCACUGCAGCUCACAUCGUCUGAGGCUAAGUGCUUGGAGUGGCUUCCUGUGGAACCUAUCCACUACUCCUUGUGUGUGCGUAUGCCAAAGUGAGCGACUCUUUCCAAACACUAGUUCACCGAUAAAGCUUUCUGGAGAUCUACUUUGUAUAGAGGAAGGCUCAGCCCUAUAACAUGUUACUUAGUUCGUAAAUCAUGACCAGAGACCUAACAGCUACUUACAUGUCAGUUUUGUCUUUACAGACAUAGCAGUUCUUCGAGGUCUGCUAAGCCCAGCCUCGUUCUCAGCGAAAACCCUGAAUUCAUAUUCAGUAGCUUCCAGCAAACCCCCUAUUGUGAACUGCCUGUCCUUGAUGCGGUCCUUGUUGCUCUUCUUCCAGGCACUGUCCCCAGAUUGUCUAUAUUCAAUCCAGUACCCAAGGAUGUCUUUGCCACCAUCACACUCAGGUUUCUCCCACUGCAGAGUGACACUGUCUUUGGAUAUUGAAAGAAUCUCCAGUUCUCCAGGUUGGCUUGGCCUAUCUGAAAUAUUUUAAAAAACAAUGGAAAAGGGAAUCAGCUGUACUGCUGAAAUAAAAGAAAAGGACCAGAGAUGGCUUGCCGUUUCACUUAUAACCCCUUCAGAAAUUCUCUCCUUACCAAAUGGAUCUUUGCAAAUAACUGGUUCCGAAGCUGGGCUGCUCUCACUUAGGCCAACAUCAUUCUGGGCAAUGAUGCGGAACUGAUACUCAGCAUCCGAAACCAGCCCCGUGACAGUGUACAUUGUGGUCGUUAUCUGAGUCUUGUUGUGCCGGACCCACUUGUCUGUUGAUGUCUCCUUGCGUUCGAUGUAGUAGCCCGUGACUCGGGAACCACCGUCGUCUUUGGGCCGAGACCAGGACAGGCUGACAGAACUCUUGGUCACAUCAAGUACUUCUGGAGGAUUGCUCGGAGGCUCUGGGGGAUCUAAGGAUAUAUGUGGAGAACACACAUGUGUUAGUGCACAGCCCCAGACUUUGUGAGCUGAUAGCUUUCGCUUUGAAACCGAAGAGGGCUGGAAGAAUUUUUGCAAUGCUGUGGUUGGGAGAGCACUUACUUAGUGGUGUUUUUGGUAUGACUGGUUCCUCAGAUUUCAAGGGUUUGCUUAUGCCAAACUGGUUUUCUGCUGAAACACGGAAAUGGUAUUCCACAUUUUCUUUGAGGCCUUUUACCACCAGGGAUGUUCCUCGGACUCUGGAGUCAAUGGUGUACCAGGCGGCUUUAGGCACUUCUCGUCUCUCAAGGAUGUAGCCCAAGAUGUCGGCACCACCGUCAUCGGCAGGGGGUCUCCAGCUGACCCUGACAGAGCGAGCUUGUAUGUCAUCAUAUUCAAGUGGCCCUUCUGGAGUGUUGGGGCUUCCUAUCACCCUGACCUUGAUGUAAACAGCCUUCUUGCCACAUUUGUUUUCCAGAACCAGGUCAUAAGUGCCAGAAUCGUCCCUGACCGCUUCUUUGAUUACAAGCUCGGUGUGGGUUUCAGAGGUUGCAAUCAUGGCACGCUUACUGAUAUCUUGGCCUUCUUUGGUCCAUUUACAUAUUGGGUAUGGUUUUCCUUUGAUUGGAAUGGUAAGUCUGAUGACUCCACCUUGUCUUACAAAGAUACCCUCCUGGUAUCUUUCAUCAAGUUCAUAAUCAGGAUAUUCUGGGGUGGAAAAGGCAGGGUUACAAGUUAAAUUAACUUUCUCUUUUAAAGGAGGAAAUAAGUCUUAAGGCAAUUAUAGCAGAAAGAAAAUGACUAUGUCUUACCAAGCAUUUCGGUGACCUUGACUGUUCCUGGUACCUCAGCAGGCUCCCCGGGGCCACCGGCGUUACACGCUAGGACACGGAAUCUG